rnacentral:rRNA from 1 species
AUUGAACGCUGGCGGCAUGCUUUACACAUGCAAGUCGAGCGGCAGCGCGGGGGCAACCCUGGCGGCGAGCGGCGAACGGGUGAGGAAUACAUCGGAACGUGCCCCGGAGUGGGGGAUAACGCCGCGAAAGCGGCGCUAAUACCGCAUAUGCUCUGAGGAGGAAAGCGGGGGACCUGUGAGGGCCUCGCGCUCUGGGAGCGGCCGAUGUCCGAUUAGCUAGUUGGUGGGGUAAAGGCCUACCAGGGCGACGAUCGGUAGCUGGUCUGAGAGGAUGAUCAGCCACACUGGGACUGAGACACGGCCCAGACUCCUACGGGAGGCAGCAGUGGGGAAUUUUGGACAAUGGGGGCAACCCUGAUCCAGCCAUGCCGCGUGCGGGAAGAAGGCCUUCGGGUUGUAAACCGCUUUUAGCCGGGAAGAAAAGGCCACGGACAAUACCCGUGGUUCUUGACGGUACCGGCGGAAUAAGCACCGGCUAACUACGUGCCAGCAGCCGCCGUAAAAC